AUGGGGCUGCUGCGCCGGCGGGCCGGAGGCGGACCCGGCGGUGCUGCGCGCGCUGUGCUCCAUGCACCGCACGACCUCGGCGCGGCUGGCCACGACGCGGUGGAACACGGCGCGCACCUGCCGCUCCAGCGGCGCGAGGCCGUCCUCCAGCGCCCGGCACGCGCCGGCCAGCGCCUCUGCGCGCUCCACGACGUCUCCGGCGCGCUCCUCGCUGAUGGACGCCGGGGCCUCCACCUCCGCGGCCUCGUCCUCCUCCUCGGCGAUCUCCUCGAGCAGGCUGUUGAGCUCCCGCGCGGCGCGCUCCACGGCCUGCAUCUCGGCGAGGAGCCCCGCGGACGCCGGCGAGGACGCCCCGGAGGACGACCCCUUCUUGUCCCUCCGCCUCGACUCCUCCACGAUCCGCUCCUGGAUGGCCGUCAUGGGCGCCGCCCACUGCGCCUGCUUGGCCGGCGCGACGGGGGCGGCCGCGGAGGCCCUGUCCUGGCAGGGCACGGCGGCGACGAGCGCCCACAUGGCGAACACGAGGACGGAGCUCAUGGUGUAGAGCGCCAGCCCGAGGCCGCCCCCGGCGCCGGGGGCGGCGGCGGCGCGAGGUGCGCCGCCAUGGCGUGCACGUGGCGCCCCGUGGACCAGUUCUUGGACGAGACGCUGAAGGAGAGCGCGCGGGCGGCGCGCGAGCUGCAGGGCGUCGUCGGCGCGGCCCUGGCGUCCGGGAAGAGCCUGGAGAUGGCCCGGCGCGCGCGCGCGAACUGCGCGCGGUGCAGCAGCGGCGCGCCGGCGGCGAGGAGGCAGGAGGCGGCGGUGAGCGCGGCGCGGUGGGAGCCCCGGAGCGAGGCGAGCGCGAGGGAGACGGCGUUGAGCGCGUCGAGCGCCUUGACGGAGCGGUCGAGCAGGUCGGCGGCGAGGCGGUCGGCGGGGGCCCUGGAGAGCGCGGCGCCCACGGGGCCCACGGCGAGGGCGUCCCGGAACGCGGCGUCCGAGGAGACCACGGCGUCGAGCAGCUUGGAGAGGAACGCCAGCGAGAGCAGCGGCCCCUGCUGGCUCUGGGCCGCGGAGGAGGAGUGGGCGGAGAGCGCGGCGAGGCGGUCGGCGACGUGGGCCUGGAGCGCGUCGAGGACGAGCAGCUCGUCGUCCUGCGCCGGGUCGAAGGAGGCGACGGCGGUGGCGCCGCGGCGGAAGCUGAGCAGCCCCAGGAAGCCCAUCCCGCCGGUGGGCGGCGGCGGCUCCGCGGCGGCCAUCCUCGCGCUCGUGGUGGGCUUUGGGCCGGGCCUGGGCCUGGGCUUUGGUCGGAGUGGAGGGGAGGGAGGGAAUGAAUGGUGGGGAACCGCUGCUGGAGCGCCGGCCAUAUAUACUGCGAGGCAGACGGCCGCGGAGGGGCAGCUCCGUCCACGAGCCUCACUUCCCUUCACGCCAAUGACAUGUGGGUCCGCUUAUCGCACGGGCCGUCCUGUCAGUCAGACAGAAGAGGUGGCGUGCUGGUGCGGCGGGGUUCUUGUGGGGAAUGGUGGACCAGUUCGUUGGCUGACUUGGUUGGCUGCCACUACUGGAUGGACCCGGUGUACUCCUCUCCCACAUUUUCUCCUCCCUUUUUUUUUCUUAUAA
rnacentral:rRNA from 1 species